CGGCCAUGUCUCUCUUGCUGGGUAGUGAGUUUAUCUCAUUUUCCAUAUGAACCAAAAACAGAUUUUAUGGCUCGGUGUUACUUCUGCUCCGUCUAAUUUACAAGUAUCCAUUCCUAAAAAUCUGAGUGCUUUUUGACAGAUUAAAGGCAUCAGCAGUUCAGCCUCUGAUGGCCAGCGAUGCCAAUCUAUCUCGCACUUUCAAAUACUUAUUGGGUUAGUUUUCCUUCCUCUUUUUCUUUGCAUUUUUCCCUCCAAAAUUAAGGUUAUGCAGUUUGGGUGUUUAUAAAGUAUUGGCCAACCUUGGCGAGGUAUAGCCACACAGUUCUUGUCAAGAGGAAUUCCAUUUAUUUUCAAAUAAUGGAUCGUCAGGCACCUCACAGGAGAGGAUUAUGCGGUACUAUCAUUUCUAUGAACUGUUAUCAGCUUUCUGUUUUUGUUCUUUCUCUUCCUACUUUUAUUUUAAAAGUUGUUUCAUUCGGGGUUAUGAUCUGAAAUAAAAUUUAAUUGCUCUUUUUUCCCCUUCAAAUUCAGCUUUACGUUGUUCAGUUUCAUCUGUUUGUUACUUGUGUCUUGUUUCUUAGUCGGGAGGGAUUUCGGCGAGCUUGCAUGAGGGCUGAAAUUAAAUGGUAUUACCUCUCUGCCUAUCUUAAAUCAACCUGCGUAUGCUUCUUGGCAUCUCCAAAUUGUUAUAAAAUGUGGUUAGUGAGAAGAGUGCUUGAUUUGUGAAAUUCUGCAAUAUCUAUAAUUUGAUUUAUGGUACAGUUCUAGACAACUUUUGAACCGUUUCCUUUGUUAGGAUGUAGGAUCUUUGCUUCAUGGUGACAUAUGUUUUGUGUAGAGGUGCGCUAUCAUCUGAUCUGAUGAUCUCAUACUUGUCUUAUGCCACAGUGAUGGUACGUCAACAGAAGAAUAUGCAGCAAAUCUAUUAAAAGUAGCUUGGAUGACUCUCCCUCUUGUGAUAGUUAUCACAGCUGCUGCCUGCAUUUUUGUAGUUUGGUGGCAAGGACUAAGCCAUUCUGACCCAUAUGCACAAGCAAUCUUGAUUAAUGGCAAUAUUUUAUGACCGCCUCUAACUUUCGAGUUAAAAUUUUGCAGCAGGCUGUGCAUGUAUACUGGAGCUAUUGGCUGAACCGUUAUUUAUCCUUUCUCAGAAUUUACUCCAGCUUGAACUGCGCUUGAUGGUUGAAACAGUUGCUACCCUUUUACAUUUUCUGACUAUUUAUAUCCUUAUUGUCAGACAACCCAGCAUGGUAAAACUCUUAAUUGUUUUAUCUCACUAAUUGCAUGUUUUCAAUCUACUAAUAGCGCAUUCCAAUGGAAUACCCAGACCUUUUCUUAAAAUCUUAGAUUGAAUGCUGUUAUUUGUUCUUUAGCUAAUUCAAAGAUGUCCUGUGAUGGCACUUCAAUAUGAAAAUCCCAUUUUCAAAAGUUUGUGAAGUGCACAAGUAAUAUCAAUUACAUCCCUGUCGAUUCUAUUCAUAAUUAUGCUUGCAGUAGGGCAUGCUGUAUUCAAAUCUUAGAGGAGAAUCUCUCAUCCUAUCCGUGGAUAUUCUUUUGGUGUUAUGGCAUUACACCUCACUAUCUGUUCCUUAUCUCAAAGUAGGUUUUCUUUUUAUUUAUUUUUUAUUUUUACUUAUUUUGAUCAUAAAGUUUGCAUUUUUUUAAAAUCUUUUUGGUAAUAUAGUUAAAUUUUUGGAAAGCAUAACUAGUUGUCAAUAAGUUGUUUCAUGGCAAAUGUCACUAAUAAUAAAAGGUUAGAGACAUUUCCUCAGUUCUGUCUCCGUGUCUAGUCAGCUAAGUAAUAUUCUAGAUCUUAAUUGGUAAAUGUGGCAAGACCUACUUGUUUUCUUGUAAUUUAUGUGGGCCUGGUCUACAGUUUUGCAUGGUGACUGCUGCUAAUAUAAAAAUUUCCCUGAUUGUUGUAGGAGAAAGGGAUCAUCUUUGCAUUGUCACAAACUGCAUAUGGAGCUUGCUUGUUCUUAGGAUAUUGGAGUUAUUUUCUUUUUUUCCGUGCAUUUAGAAGCUCUGAUCUUCUCCGUUUUAGGUAUAGAUUCUUCUUCUAUCAUACAAUUUUUUUUUUCUUUGAUAUGUUUUGGUUGUUAUUGCCCCUUCAAAAGAAAAAGGAAAAAAGAGUAAACAAAAUUGUUGAGAUUAAUUAUAAGAUGUAUAUAAAGUUAUGAACAUCAAAUAGUAAUGAUUUGAAUCCUGAGACAUGACCUUAAUGGGAAAUGCCUCCUUCAAUGGUCUGCUGAACUUCCAAGUUUCAUUGGGAGGGCUCAACCUGUUUGAUUGGCAGCUCCUAUUCUUUUUAAGCUAUUAAAAAUGACUCUUAAAAUUGGUUGUGUUACAUUAUUAUUAAUUAUAUGCUAAAUUUGUUCAUAAAUGCUUGUUUUUUCCGGUUUUUGUCCAAUUAUUUUAGUCAAUCAUGUUCUUUCACAGUCUAGGAACUAAAAUGGAUUACGAUAAGCAACUCUCAAACAUGUGUAUGUUGUUUACUCUUCAAUCCUUUCAGAAGCUAAUUCUUCGAGAAGGGGAAAAGAUGGUCCUUGUGUGGUUGGACACCCCUUAUAACCAGGCUGUAUAUGGCUUGUUGACAGACUGGGUAUGUGGACUACCUAGAUAUCCUGGGCCUUACUGUGUUACAGUUUCAAUUUUCUGAUCACAUUAAGUUUUUUUAUUGAAUAAAUCAAUAACAACUUUUACUAUUUCAGUUGAGAAAAAUGCCAUUAAUCUUGGAUGUUUGAAGUUCGGAGCAUGUUAUAAUUAUUAAAUUAUUUAUUCCAGGAAGCUUAGUAGUGAGAUUGGUGUUUCUGCCAUUUGAGGAAAGUUCAUAUUCUACCUUUGCUAGGUCUGCAUCAGGAGAAUAUCCACACAAAAGCAGGAAAUUGGGAAGCUACCUCACUGAGGCCCUUAAGCUUGUUUUGUUAAUUGGUAUUUCCGGUUGCUCGCUUGCCAUUGUUAUAAUUAUUCCUUUUAUCCAUUUAAUCAGCUCACUGUUCAAUUUUUCAUCUGAUUAUCAUUGUAUUCCAUAAUGAAAAAUUCUGUAGCAUUUAACUUUAUGCUGAUAUGCAUGUCAAGAAGUGCUGAAAAUCGGGACAUUAUUUCUAUAUCAACUUGCUUUGAACUUUAUGACUAUAAAUGAUCAAUUCCAUCCUUUCAAGAAUCCUCUUCUUAUACUUUCAGGUCUCGUAUUCAUGGCAUUUGGCCCAAGUUACUCUUACUCUCUAAUCAGAUUAUUGUAUGGCCAUAAAUGGAGUGAUGGGGAAGCAUCAACAGCUCUCCGGUAUAAUUGCCUUUAUAUUGUUGUUUUGUCUAUGAAUGGUGAGUAGCUAGUUUUCAUCACCAUUCCCAAAUAUAUUAUUUAUGUAGCAACUACCAUUACGUAUCACUCUUCCAUGACAUUCUACUUCAUUUCCUUCUUAUUUUGAUUCUUGUUGAUUCCUGGCUAUGUAUUGGAUGACAAUAGUGCUCUGUCUUAUAUAUUCUAUCAUUCUAUUGAUCCAGAAAACAGUGCAACAGAACUGUAAAUUGUGCUUACUUGUCUGUGAACAUGUAAACACAACAUCAUACAACUCAAUUAUUUUAGAUGUGCAUAUGCUACAUGCAGCUAUCCUUGAGAUAAUAUUAUGGAGAUUUUGAUCCUUAUUUUGUUUUUGCAUCAGGAACCUCUGAAGCAUCUCUACAUGCUGUUGCAACAGAGAACCAACUCAAACGUUCAAAUGAUUCAUUGCUUGUUUUCUCUCUGCUAUAUGUGGCACUGAAUGUCCUACUGAUAAGGUCAGCUGCUGCAGUUGGCUUGAUUCUGGCAAAUUCAUUGAGUAUCCUUUGUGUUGUGAGUUUUUCAGCUAAGAGACCAACUCUACUAGAUGCAUGGUACGCCAUUGCGGUUACACAUAUUGUAAAUUAUACCACCUGUAAUUGAUAGUAUUUCAUGAUAAAAAUUCCAUGUGAUAUUUUUGGCACGAAACGAUGCUUUAGUUCUUGAUUCCAGAAUUCAACUUCUUGUCAUUCUCAAUGAGAUGAGUGCUUUAAGUUGGUCUCUAGUUUCUUGACUUUUGUGAAGAUAUGAGUUUGAGGAUUAUAUACUCUGCAAUAUUCAUCAGGCAUUAUUUCAAGGUAUGAGUUUGAUGGUGCAACUUUUGCACAUUUUGAUCAUCCAGAUUGACCUUACACUGGAAAAUGUUCCUCUACCUCCACAGGAUUCUUCUGCAUUUACAUUUCGCAGCUGCUUGCCUUCAGCUUGGACAGUUCUGUUGUUUUCAGAUGUAACCACUCUCAUCUCUGAGAAAAUAUUUCUGGAUCUCAAAAAUUUCACGCCGACAUUUGUAGUUCACUUUUUCAUUGGGUUCACUUGCUAUUGCAUAUCCUCUAUUGUCAUUUAUCGCCGGGAUAGGCCUUUUAUCGAAAAAUUAUCCGAUUUUGCGAUCAUGUGGACUGAAGAAUGGCGAACUACCUCAAGAGCUUUCGAAGAUGGAUUUACUUUCUUUGGUAUUACUCAAUCAUUGUCUAUCUACUCUUGUGAUUUUUAUUUUUAUUUUUCUUCCACGCACGCAAAACUACUGUAAUUGAAGAAACAGAGAGAAACAAAAGAGUCCUAUGCUAGGGGACUCAAGUAGUUUGCUAGCAACCACAACAACAGCCGCUGAUGGUGGUGGUGGUGGUGCUGCUGCUGCUGGUAUCAGGCAGGCUCUCUCCCCCAAGAGAGCCUCCUCUCUCCUUCAUCAGAAUGAGAAUGAUGGUUGAAGGUUUGUUUUCUCUGUGUAUCUCACUCACUCUCUCACUCUUUAUCUG
rnacentral:misc_RNA from 1 species